UGAUGAUGAUGAUGAUGAUGAUGAUGAUGAUGAUGAUGAUGAUGAUGAUGAUGAUAAUUAUUAUUAUUAUCAUCAGCAACAGCAUUAUUAUUACUA
rnacentral:pre_miRNA from 1 species